rnacentral:rRNA from 1 species
GAUGAACGCUGGCGGCGUGCCUAAUACAUGCAAGUCGAGCGAACAGAUAAGGAGCUUGCUCCUUUGACGUUAGCGGCGGACGGGUGAGUAACACGUGGGUAACCUACCUAUAAGACUGGAAUAACUCCGGGAAACCGGGGCUAAUGCCGGAUAACAUUUAGAACCGCAUGGUUCUAAAGUGAAAGAUGGUUUUGCUAUCACUUAUAGAUGGACCCGCGCCGUAUUAGCUAGUUGGUAAGGUAACGGCUUACCAAGGCAACGAUACGUAGCCGACCUGAGAGGCUGAUCUGCCACACUGGAACUGAGACACGGUCCAGACUCCUACGGGAGGCAGCAGUAGGGAAUCUUCCGCAAUGGGCGAAAGCCUGACGGAGCAACGCCGCGUGAGUGAUGAAGGUCUUCGGAUCGUAAAACUCUGUUAUUAGGGAAGAACAAAUGUGUAAGUAACUGUGCACGUCUUGACGGUACCUAAUCAGAAAGCCACGGCUAACUACGUG